AGUGGAUGGGGAGCAACCUAGUUGUGCGUGUGUAAAGGUAGUGCCAAGAAAAGCGAUGAUCAUGUUGAAAAUCAAUUCCCGGUACCCGAAACCGACACAGGUGGGCAAGUAGAGAAUACUAAGGGGCGCGAGGUAACUCUCUCCAAGGAACUCGGCAAAAUGACCCCGUAACUUAGGGAGAAGGGGUGCCACCGAGAGGUGGUCGCAGUGAAGAGGCCCAGGCGACUGUUUAGCAAAAACAUAGGUCUCUGCAAACUCGAAAGAGGAGGUAUAGGGGCUGACGCCUGCCCAGUGCCGGAAGGUUAAAGAAGUUGGUCAGUUUUAGGAUGAAGCUAGCGACUGAAGCCCCGGUGAACGGCGGCCGUAACUAUAACGGUCCUAAGGUAGCGAAAUUCCUUGUCGGGUAAGUUCCGACCCGCACGAAAGGCGUAACGAUCUGGGCGCUGUCUCGGAGAGAGGCUCGGCGAAAUAGGAUUGUCUGUGAAGAUACGGACUACCUGCAUUUGGACAGAAAGACCCUAUGAAGCUUUACUAUAGCUUGGAAUUGUGUUCGGGCUUCCUGUGCGCAGGAUAGGUGGGAGGCGUAGAAGGUAUUCUUGUGGGGAUACUGGAGCCAACGGUGAGAUACCACUCUCAGGAGGCUAGAAUUCUAACUUAAUUAAGGACAGUUUCAGGUGGGUAGUUUGACUGGGGCGGUCGCCUCCAAAAAGGUAACGGAGGCGUACAAAGGUUCCCUCAGACUGGUUGGAAAUCAGUCGAAGAGUGCAAAGGCAGAAGGGAGCUUGACUGCGAGAAGUACAGUUCGAGCAGGGUGGAAACACGGUCUUAGUGAUCCGACGGUGCUGUGUGGAAGGGCCGUCGCUCAACGGAUAAAAGUUACUCUAGGAUAACAGGCUGAUCUCCCCCAAGAGUUCACAUCGACGGGGAGGUUUGGCACCUCGAUGUCGGCUCAUCGCAACCUGGGGCGGAAGUACGUCCCAAGGGUUGGGCUGUUCGCCCAUUAAAGCGGUACAUGAGCUGGGUUCAGAACGUCGUGAGACAGUUCGGUCCAUAUCCGAUGUAGGCGUGAGAAUAUUGAGAGGAGCCUUCCUUAGUACGAGAGGACCGGGAAGGACGCACCGCUGGUGUACCUGUUAUGAUGCCAAUUGUAAACGCAGGGUAGCCAAGUGCGGAGAGGAUAACCGCUGAAAGCAUCUAAGUGGGAAGCCCACCUCAAGAUGAGUAUUCUGGUGUAAGGUCACGGGAAGACGACCCGUAAAUAGGCACGAGGUGGAAGUGCAGAGAUGUAUGAAGCCGAAGUGUACUAAUAGACCGUCGGCUUGACC
rnacentral:rRNA from 1 species